rnacentral:rRNA from 1 species
GACGAACGCUGGCGGCGUGCUUAACACAUGCAAGUCGAACGGUGAUGGGUGCUUGCACCUUGAUCAGUGGCGAACGGGAGAGUAACACGUUAGCAACCGCACCCCGACUCUGGGAUAACCCCGGGAAACCGGAGCUAAUACCGGAUCUGAGGCGCCUAGCCAUCUGGGCGUCGGGUACGAAUUUCGGUCGGGGUUGGGCUCGCGGCCGAUCAGCUUGUUGGUGGGGUAAUGGCAUACCAAGGCGACGACGGGUAGCCGGCCUGAGAGGGCGACCGGACACACUGGGACUGAGACACGGCACAGACUCCUACGGGAGGCAGCAGUGGGGAAUAUUGCACAAUGGGCGCAAGCCUGAUGCAGCGACGCCGCGUGAGGGAUGAAGGCCUUCGGGUUGUAAACCUCUUUCAGCAGGGAAGAAGCGCAAGUGACGGUACCUGCAGAAGAAGCGCCGGCUAACUACGUGCCAGCAGCCGCGUAAGAC